rnacentral:rRNA from 1 species
UACGUAGGGGGCGAGCGUUGUCCGGAAUUAUUGGGCGUAAAGAGCUUGUAGGCGGUCUGUCGCGUCUGCUGUGAAAAUCCGGGGCUCAACCUCGGACUUGCAGUGGGUACGGGCAGACUAGAGUGUGGUAGGGGAGACUGGAAUUCCCGGUGUAGCGGUGAAAUGCGUAGAGAUCGGGAGGAACACCGGUGGCGAAGGCGGGUCUCUGGGCCGAAAUUGACGCUGAGGAGCGAAAGCGUGGGGAGCAAACAGG